GUGGAGAACUCCUAGAAAAUUCUCAAGUUCAUAUAGCUUUGGUGGAAUCUUUAGAACUUGAUGAAAAGCUCAAAACAUUUCAAACUGUUGGAUUUUGCCACGUUUAUAGCGUUCAGCCCUUAAAAUUUUCAGAAGACAUCUCUUUUGCCUUCAAAAUAAACAACGAGAAUCUUUUAAGGGUAUCUCCAGUGUCAUGCGACUUUCUUCCGGCCUUUAAGAAAAAUGAAACUUUGAAAAGUACUGAAGCGAGGACUCCUAGUGAGCUAUUUGAAAAAAAGGAAAAAUUAUUAGAUUUUUAUAUU